UCCGUUAUGGUGUAGUGGCUAACAUUAUCGCCUCUCAUUCCAAUGGCCCUCUUUAUAGAGCGCGAUAGCCCAGGGUUCGAUUCCCUGUAACGGAA